GGACACGUAGCUCAGUUGGUUAGAGCGCCGCCCUGUCACGGCGGAGGUCGCGAGUUCGAGUCUCGUCGUGUCCGCCA
rnacentral:tRNA from 1 species